rnacentral:sRNA from 6 species
UAUCUCUCCGUACGGGGAAGGAUGAGAAGCUUCGACUAAGGUUCGAUUCGAGCGCAGCGAGAAAGCGUUGCCG